AGAUCUCUCCCCUCAUUGCUAAAUGCAAUAAAAGAGCAGGCUUCCUUUCUCCAAUGCAAAUGACACCAUCUUCAGGUUGCUGAAUAAAUCCUCUAUUGUUGACAUUCUAAGGAAGAGGAAUUCAAUUCCAUAGCAUCAAGAAGGAGCCAAGGACAUGGUAAUUGAUACUCAGAAUUACAAGGGAUCCAAGAACAGUUACUGCAAUAUUCGUACCACAAUCAACUUUGCAAUUUGAAAAGACACCAGCUUGUUGGAGGAGAAUGAAUUGCGAGCGGAGAGAGUCAGAGAGGAGAUAAGACUCAGUUUGAGGAAGGCCUAUUGAGACAUUUGGUAGUGGGGAUGGUUUUCCCCUCAUACUCACUCUGUCAUUUUGAUGGUCCAUGGCAUUUGGCGUCAUAGCUAGUUGGCAUUAGAGAGCAGUCUGAAUCCACGAAACAACAGAAAGCUAACAGGUC
rnacentral:lncRNA from 1 species